CAAGGUGAAUUGAUCAUACCUCA
rnacentral:siRNA from 1 species